ACCCCAGUGUCUUUGUCAGGAAGCAUUCCGCACUCUUUGAGUGCCUACAAUGGAAGUUCUCCGUUAAACACUGGGAAAAUCAAGGGCUGUCUCGCUGUCCUGGUCCUUGGAUCAGGGCUGAUGGGAUCCGUUUUGGAUUUCCUAUCAUGAGACAGAAUUGCUUCCGAUGAGUUGAAGUCUGCCAGUGCUCUUUCGAGCCUUUCGAUGGUGGUAUUUCUUAGUAGUGAAGCAUACAUAC
rnacentral:snoRNA from 1 species